UAAGGUAGGUUUUCACACACAUAUUUCCACUCAUAAAUAAUUAUUAUAUUGACAUAUUAUGAUAUGAUUAUGAUAUAAUCAAGCAUCCUGGGGCUACAGUUUAAUACUAAUAUAAUAUUGCCCUAGGUACCCCUCCCCUGGACACUGCAUUGGGCCAUUACUGAAAGACAGUUGAAGUGCAAUACUUACCCAUAUUAGGGGUGAUCUCAUUUUCCUUUAUGAAUACACUGACUUUUUGUGACAGCAUGCAUAAGAGUUAUUCAGCUUUUUUAACAAUAUAACAGCUAUUGCCUUUG